CCCGCUCAGAAACUCAAAUGAAUUGACGGGGGCCCGCACAAGCGUGGAGCAUGUGGUUUAAUUCGAAGCAACGCGCAGAACUUACCAGCCCUUGACAUACCGGUCGCGGACACAGAGAUGUGUCUUUCAGUUCGGCUGGACCGGAUACAGGUGCUGCAUGGCUGUCGUCAGCUCGUGUCGUGAGAUGUUGGGUUAAGUCCCGCAACGAGCGCAACCCUCGCCCUUAGUUGCCAGCAUUUAGUUGGGCACUCUAAGGGGACUGCCGGUGAUAAGCCGAGAGGAAGGUGGGGAUGACGUCAAGUCCUCAUGGCCCUUACGGGCUGGGCUACACACGUGCUACAAUGGUCGGUACAAAGGGUUGCCAAGCCGCGAGGUGGAGCUAAUCCCAUAAAACCGAUCGUAGUCCGGAUCGCAGUCUGCAACUCGACUGCGUGAAGUCGGAAUCGCUAGUAAUCGUGAAUCAGAAUGUCACGGUGAAUACGUUCCCGGGCCUU
rnacentral:rRNA from 1 species